ACGAACGCUGGCGGCGUGCUUAACACAUGCAAGUCGAACGGAAAGGCCCUGCUUGCAGGGUACUCGAGUGGCGAACGGGUGAGUAACACGUGGGUGAUCUGCCCUGCACUUCGGGAUAAGCUUGGGAAACUGGGUCUAAUACCGGAUAGGAACCAUCUUUAGUGUGGUGGUUGGAAAGUUUUUUCGGUGUAGGAUGAGCUCGCGGCCUAUCAGCUUGUUGGUGGGGUAAUGGCCUACCAAGGCGGCGACGGGUAGCCGGCCUGAGAGGGUGUACGGCCACAUUGGGACUGAGAUACGGCCCAGACUCCUACGGGGGGCAGCAGUGGGGAAUAUUGCACAAUGGGCGCAAGCCUGAUGCAGCGACGCCGCGUGGGGGAUGAAGGCCUUCGGGUUGUAAACUCCUUUCGCUAGGGACGAAGCUUUGUUGUGACGGUACCUAGAUAAGAAGCACCGGCUAACUACGUG
rnacentral:rRNA from 1 species